rnacentral:rRNA from 1 species
GAUUAACGCUGGCGGCGUGCAUAACACAUGCAAGUCGAACGAUGAAACUUUACUGACUUCUUCGGAAAGAUUUAAAGCGGAUUAGUGGCGGACGGGUGAGUAACGCGUGAGUAACCUGCCUUACACAAGGGGAUAGCCGUUGGAAACGACGAAUAAUACCCUAUGAAACUAUCACUUCGCAUGAAGCGAUAGUCAAAGUGUUAGCGGUGUAAGAUGGACUUGCGUCUGAUUAGCUAGUUGGUGAGAAAAAAGCCCACCAAGGCAACGAUCAGUAGCCGGCUUGAGAGAGUGUACGGCCACAUUGGGACUGAGACACGGCCCAG